rnacentral:rRNA from 1 species
UGCCAGCAGCCGCGGUAAUACGGAGGGUGCGAGCGUUGUUCGGAUUUAUUGGGCGUAAAGCGCGCGCAGGCGGAUUUUCAAGCCAGAUGUGAAAUCUCGGGGCUCAACCCCGAAACUGCGUCUGGAACUGUUGAUCUAGAAUACUGGAGAGGAAGGAGGAAUUUCGCAUGUAGGGGUAAAAUCCGUAGAGAUGCGAAGGAACACCAGAGGCGAAGGCGUCCUUCUGGACAGUUAUUGACGCUGAGGCGCGAAAGCGUGGGGAGCAAACAGGAUUAGAUA